ACAGCAAGCUUUUGGGCUCAAAAAGCUUAGACCAUCAUGGCUACGAAAACUACUGCUACUCAGAAAAUAUGUAAUUCUGGACUCCUUAGUGAAAAAGUAGUGCAAGGCAACAUCAGAGCAGUUGCCAAGUGAUCUUCUCCACAGCACCCAUGAACUUCAGCCUUGAACUGAAGAGGACUCAUCAAAUGCCUUAGGAGAGACAGCAUGGAAUUGGAAGAGAAGCAGGGAUCUCCAUAAAGGGCAGUCAACUACAGUCUUGGUAAGUUCAAAAAAUAUAUAUAAAAUUUUAUUUCUGUUAAAUUUUCACCUUUAUGAAGCGACAUAUAUUUAGGGCCCUGUUCACAGUGGCAAAACAAAGCCAGUUUUAUUGAAAC